rnacentral:misc_RNA from 1 species
GAUGAAGAACGUAGCGAAAUGCGAUACGUAAUGUGAAUUGCAGAAUUCAGUGAAUCAUCGAGUCUUUGAACGCACAUUGCGCCCCCUGGUAUUCCGGGGGGCAUGCCUGUCCGAGCGUCAUUUCAACCCUCAAGCCCCGCUUGGUGUUGGGCCCCGCCCGCCGUGGCCGGCCCUAAAGACAGUGGCGGCGCCGCCUGGCCCUCAGCGUAGUACAGCUCUCGCUCCAGGGUCCGGCGGCCGCCUGCCAGAACCCCCCCAACUCUGUGGUUGACCUCGGAUCAGGUAGGGAUACCCGCUGAACUUAAGCAUAUCAAUAAGCGGAGGA